UGGAAUGGCAAUUACUUACCCUACAUAUAUGUGUAUAUCAAUUCUUAAAGGAAAAAGAAAAUAGUACAAACGAUUAGAGUACAAACAAUUUUCUUCCAUCUUGUUUUCCCUUAUGAGCUAUUUUCAAUCCCAGUUUUGUGGGGAAAGCACAGUAUAAAGAUGAUGAUGUUGAUGAUGACGACGACAAUAGCAGUUACCAUGACAGAUCAGAAGCUAUCUGUGAUCCCAUAUCUUCCAACAGGAUUAAAGUUGAGGUGCUUGUGUCUAAGCAAUAUCAGAGUGUGAUAAAAAAAAUGGCAAAAGUUGUUAAUGAGGAAGCGCACACAAGCUGGGAGAGGCUGUAGCAGUUCGCUUUUGCAACAGCCUUCUGGCCUCUCCUGUCCUCUUUCCUCUGAAGACUUUAUUCAAUGCCAGGUACUCUUGCACUUUGGAAUCAGUUUGUGCAAUUGAAGUAAACUGAAGAUAAACAGGGAAUGUGGGAGGAGGAGAGAGAAACUAGGAUGACAGAGGAUUAAUUGGGGCAGUCCCUGCAAAAUUAGAGCAAUUGCAGAAUCUGUGGUUUUACCUUUUCCAUCUAUAUAUAUUAAAAGCUUCUGGCAUUUUUACCUAACGGUAAACAACGAAACUAAAUCCAGAACCACGAAACUUGGCAACACAACCCACGGUCCUCCCCACUAGGUUCCGACAACAAAACCAAAACUCCAACUCACAUCCAUGGCCCAAAAAAGCCAAAAAACAUGAAAAAGCAUCUGCGCUUGCGCGGAGCAGGACACAGCGUGCGAUCCUCUCCUGCCACACCCCCUCCUCCAUGCUCGCUCAGAGCAAUGCGCGCCUUUCCGCCACUUCCCCACGUGCUCAGAACUGGGAGGGGGAGGGAAGGAGGGGCGGCCCCAGGAGAGAUAGAGGACGGCAAAAGCAGCGGUUUGUUCUCUCGAGAGUGUGGACGAGACCGCGCGCUACCUCCUGAAGCUUGAGUUGGAAUGGGUGGGCAAGAGCGAGCUCCUGUGUCCUUUAUAAGAACCGAAGUUUUUCCUGGCAUAGAAAUGGACAGAUACGAAUUCUACACCUGGUCCAGAGGACUUGGAAACCUUUACAUUUGUGGAUGACAGAUUUCAGAAAAUUCUAUGGGCAUGGCAACUGGGGGAUUCUGGAAGAUGUAAUCUGAAAAGUAAUUUGUCAAGUUCAGGCCCUGGUCCCAGCCUCUCGUAGCUGCUUGGGCCCACCCUAGAAUCCCAUCCAUUGACAUUUGAAUCU